rnacentral:rRNA from 1 species
CCUCAGUAACGGCGAGUGAAGCGGCAACAGCUCAAAUUUGAAAUCUGGCCCUAGGCCCGAGUUGUAAUUUGCAGAGGAUGUUUCUGGCGAGGUGCCUUCCGAGUGCCCUGGAACGGGACGCCAUAGAGGGUGAGAGCCCCGUACGGUUGGUCGCUAAGCCUCUGUGAAACUCCUUCGACGAGUCGAGUAGUUUGGGAAUGCUGCUCUAAAUGGGAGGUAUACGUCUUCUAAAGCUAAAUACCGGCCAGAGACCGAUAGCGCACAAGUAGAGUGAUCGAAAGAUGAAAAGCACUUUGAAAAGAGGGUUAAACAGUACGUGAAAUUGUUGAAAGGGAAGCGCUCAUGACCAGACUUGGGCCGGUUGAUCAUCCGCCGUUCUCGGCGGUGCACUCUGCCGGCUCAGGCCAGCAUCAGUUUGGUCCGGGGGAUAAAGGUGUAGGGAAUGUGGCUCCCCCCGGGGAGUGUUAUAGCCCUGCGCGUAAUACCCUGGACUGGACUGAGGUUCGCGCAUCUGCAAGGAUGCUGGCGUAAUGGUUAUCAGUGACCCGUCUUGAAACACGGACCAAGGAGUCGUCUUCGUAUGCGAGUGUUCGGGUGUCAAACCCCUACGCGUAAUGAAAGUGAACGUAGGAGAGAGCUUCGGCGCAUCUCCGACCGAUCCUGAUGUUCUCGGAUGGAUUUGAGUAAGAGCAUACGGGGCCGGACCCGNAAAGAAGGUGAACUAUGCCUGUAUAGGGGUGAAGCCAGAGGAAACUCUGGUGGAGGCUCGCAGCGGUUCUGACGUGCAAAUCGAUCGUCAAAUAUGGGCAUGGGGG